ACUCUCGGCAACGGAUAUCUAGGCUCUCGCAUCGAUGAAGAACGUAGCAAAAUGCGAUACUUGGUGUGAAUUGCAGAAUCCCGUGAACCAUCGAGUUUUUGAACGCAAGUUGCGCCCGAAGCCAUUAGGCCGAGGGCACGUCUGCCUAGGUGUCUCA
rnacentral:rRNA from 1 species